GGAAGCAAGUACGGGGAGGGAACUUAAUGAAUAAACUAGCAAAACAAGAAACACGACAAGCGUACAGAUUUGAAACAGAAACAGAGUGAGUAUUCUGUAACGUAUAUGCUGGGAGUCGGAGAGCAAGUGCAGGUGGUGAGUUUAAUAAUAAACGAAACAUCGAACAAUGAAGCAAACACGAGUAGCAGUACAGACAUGAAACACAUAAACAGAAUCAAUAACGCCUGGGGAAAGAACCAAAGGGAGUAAACGUGACAGGGCGAAGAGGAGGAGGCAGGAAGAUGAAGGACAGGAGUGAGGGUAAAAAAGUGAGACGGGAGAGGAAGAGGACAAGAAAAAAAGAAGGGGAGAGAAAAAGAUCUCCACUAACACUCUAACGUGGAUGGUGUUGGUGCUCGGCGUCUGCUGUAAGCUACAAAGAUGUGUGGUCUGAUCAAGAGUGUGAAGUUCUACCAGGCCUCUACUAUUGAACUCUACGGGAAGGUCCACCCCUUUCUACCCACGCUCACCUUUUGGGAGGCCUAUAACCUGUUUGCUGUCAACGGGAUCCUCAUCAACCACUGCCUAUAAUUAUAGCUCACUUCCCGUACUGUAGCAAACUUCUUACAAUGUUCCAUGAUGCGCUCAUAAGUCAUAUAUGCUAACUGCUGGAGCCAUGCCUGCUAUGGGUGAUGCCCAUUUUGACUAUUUUCAGCCUUUUUUUCCAGAUUUUUUUUGUGAAUGACUGACAUAUUCACACACACACACACACACACACACACACACACACACACACACACACACACACACACACACACACACACGGAUUUGUGGUAAAUACCGUGGAUUUUUUAUAUGCGUUGCGAGCCCAGAGGUUAGAGAGGUCGUGAGCACUGGUUUAACCUGAUUUACACACCACUGUGACCUGAAAUGAGUACCACAUGACCGGACAUACAUACACAUAGACACACCCUCCUCUGUGCCCGGGUCGCCUGUUCAGGUGUUUAUGAUUUAUUCCUAAUGAAAGCCCAGGCCACGACCGCAGUCAAAGGUCAGGGGUCGGCCAGUAAAUCCUAAUGGUUUACUAGAGAGACGGGUGAAUUAGGGGCAUUGUGUGGGAACGGUUAUACGAGCUAAAUUGGAGUUACUCCAAGCAUAUAGAGUCAGACAUUGAGACUGACUGGUGAGAAGUGUAAUUUGACUGACUGAGGGAGAAUUGUCUGAGAGACAGAUGAAGAGAUGGAGGGAUAGAGCAUUAGAAUGAAAGAGGCAUGGGAGAGUUAGCAAUGAAGAAAGUUUGAAUAAGGGACUGAGUGUGGGCUGGCAGGGAGUGAGAAAGAUGAGUGGAGAGACAGACAGACAGAGAGAUAUGCAAGGAGGGAUGGAUUCAGACAGACACUCAAACUGACAGACAGAUUGAACCUCUGACCCUAUGAAAUCUAAGAAGCUGGUCUUCCCCCAGAACACUUAUUUGGACAAUACGCACACUGCCCCCCUCCUCUUCAGCCUUUCUUUUGACCUUCUCUCUUUCUUUCUCUUUACAUUUAACAUUAUAGUCAUUUAGCAGACGCUCUUAUCCAGAGCGACUUACAGUAGAGAGUACAUCCAUUUUUCAUACUGGUCCCCCGUGGGAAACAAACCCAUAACCCUGGCGUUGUACGCUCUACAAACGGAGCUACCCCCCUCUCUCUCUCUACUUCUCCCCCCCCCUCUAUCUCUCUAUCUCUCUCCCCCCUCCCUAACUCUUUCUGCAUCGUUCUAGCAGGAUGUUGUAUCUUGGCAUCUCCUCCUCUCAGAGGUAUGUCUGCUGUUGUUCAUAAACCAUGAAAGCUCUCAUCAGAUUCCUCUGUCUGAUGUGGUGAAACGUCCCUCCCUCCCUCCCAACACACACACACUUUUACGUCUUGAUGCUGUGUUUCUCAACCCAGGGUGGCGUUUUGGUUGGCCGGCCCAUUCAGGACCCCGACCGUCGCACUAAGGGGGUUUUGGACUUCUCCUCUGUCACCCCUCAGGAGGGGUAGGUGUGUGUGUGUGUGCGUGCGUGCAUCCAUGGUGUGCUGGUGUGCAUGUGGGUAUGUGUGUGUGGCUAUAAUGGACUCUCCCAUCCCUCACAGCACAUUUCAUGUCCUUUAUAAACUCAUAAAACCACAGGGAAUUCAACUCUAUUCAAAAAAUAUAUAUAAUUGAGUGGUGCAAAGUACUGGAACUAUAUGUGUGUGUUUCUGUCAGUGUGUGUGUGUGUGUGUGUGUGUGUGUGUGUCGCAUGCCGUGUGUGUGUCGCAUGCCGUGGGUAUGUCCAUGCGUGUGCAUGUAUUUGUUUGAUAUUAAAGGGCCAUUCAUUACCUGCCUGCUGCCCCUCCCUGCUCCAGCACCACACGGUCAUUAGUCACUAAUGGAGCUGGGAGAAGAUGAUGUAAGAAGGUUCUGUAGCGAUGACAUCACCGCAUCCUCCAACUCCACCCCAACAUUCAGGAAACACUGUGAUGCCAUUGUCCCAGCGUGCCACCGUGACCUGGCGGAGUGAGUGCGUCAUAACCGGAAUACAUUUUAUUUCAAAAAACCUGAAUAACCACAAUGCAGCAGCAGCAGACAUAGACAUUUUAUGAAUAGUACAGCCUUGGAACAUCUAAACGUCGGUUUAUACUUAGACUGUGACAAGUGUAGCAGAUCAAGACUACAUUUAAUUUGUACUCUGGUGGAAUGCUGCACAGACAUGAAAAAAAGUGAAUGUGUCUGUGACUGUCGCAACAUCCGUUGUCGUGGUUACUGGGCUGCUAUAGCAACAAGUCCAAAUCCAUCUGUGACGAGAGCUGCAGGAGUUCUAAAAUUCUCAGACAGAAUUACCUACUUUUAUUUCGGCGCACUCACAACCACAAGCUAUUUUCUGUCAACUCGCCAUCAUUACCUUGUAAAUAAUGAAGUUGAUGUGGGGUUCUUUUCCUGUAAUAGUGAAUAAAAAGUAACUCAAUUGAA